rnacentral:lncRNA from 10 species
UGUUUCUGCGCGGAGCUUAGCCCUGGGGAGAGGAGGAAGCCCGGGCUGUGACCCCGGCCUUUCGGAGGGUGGUCUGCGUUUCCUCACUGGCCCCUCCCCUUGUCUUCCAGAUACCCUGUGUAACGAACUCGACCAGGAGCGGAAGGCGCGCUAUGCCAUCCAGCAGAAAUUGAAAGGGCAGCUUCUCCAGCUCCCAGUUCUGGCAGUGCAUGGUAACCUUCAGUGCCCAGCUGACAGAAGCUUCCCUCAGCAUCUUCUCUAAGUGGUGUGCCACUGGCAAGGCACCUGACCAUGAACGGCUUCCCCCAGCACCCCAUCACCUGAAGAAUUUGCAGCAAGUUUCAAG